AACAAACGUUGUACAUACGCUACAGCCCAACAUCGAUACUCUGAUAAGCCAUGGUGUUCCCCAGUCAUUAGUUUUGAAAGUCCUCUUUAUAAGACCGAGGUCACUGCUUAUGUGUAGCAAUCGGUUUAGUGAGAUUGUUAGUGAAGUUCUGAAAUUGGGUUUUGAUCCCAAUUGUCUGAAAUUUGUUCUAGCCAUCAUGUCCAUGGCACUAAAUAGUAAGCCACUGUGGGAGCAGAAGGUGAAAGCUUUUAGGAGUUUUGGUUUGUCAGAGGAUAAGAUUUAUGCUGCAUUCAAGCGGGGACCCUUGUGUAUGAGUUGUUCGGAAAAGAAGAUCAAGAAAAUGAUGGGUUUCUUUGUGAACAAACUGAAGAUGAAGCCUUCUAUGAUCUCCAAUUGUCCGAAUCUUCUACUGCAUAGCUUGGAGAAGCGGAUUAUUCCAAGGUGUUCAGUUAUGCAAGUUUUGAUGUUGAAGGGGUUGAUCAAGGAGGAUAUUGGCAUUGUUUAUAUGGUCACAAUGGUUGAGAAGAAAUUCAUGGUGAAAUUUGUGAGCAAGUAUCAAAAUGAGGUUCCUGAUGUUGUUAGAGCGCACCAAGGGAAGAUAGAAUUUCAAGGGCUCCCCAUAGCCAUGGAGAUGUGAGUACUUUUGACAUAAUCAAAUGCGGCAUUGGCUAAAGAUCAUGAGUUCAGUUUUAGUACAACAUGUUAUGGAGACAUCUCAGAAACUUUGUAUGCAUUCAAGCGGGAACCCUUGUGUAUGACUGGUUCGAUCAAGAAGAUUAUGAAAAUGAUGGGUUUCUUUGUGAACAAACUGAAGAUGAAGCCUUCUAUUAUCUCCAAGAAUCCGAAUCUUGUACAGCUUAGCUUGGAGAAGCAGAUUAUUCCGAGGUGUUCAGUUCUGCAACUUUUGAUGUUGAAGGGGUUGAUCAAGGAAGAUACUAGCAUUGUUUAUAUACUCAAAAUGACUGAGAAGGAAUUCAUGGAGAAAUUUGUGAGCAAGUAUCAAAAUGAGGUUCCUGAUGUUGUUAAAGCGAACCAGGGGAAGGGGAAGAUAGAAUUUCAAGGGCUCCCCGUUGCACCAAUGGAGACGUGAUUGCUUUUGACAUAAACAAAUGUGACCUUGGCAAUAGAUCCCGAAAGGAAAAAUAAUUUCGGAGGUGUUUCAGCAGGUUUGUAUGGUAAUCCAUCAGUGUUGCACACAUCAGGCAAAAUUAGAAAGUUGUCAAAGAUGAGGUGAAUGUUCCUUGCAUACAGUAGAACUUGCUUGCCUUCCUGAUAGUGAUAGCUGCAGGAUGCUGUCAAUUUGACAUAUAUUUCAGGAUAAGCAAGCCCUGAUGUUAUAUAUAAGAGCAUUUCUAAUUUAGAGGCAUUCUAGGAUGUUUAGGUGUAGGUGUGUGAAGACUGUGAGGCCUCAUGAUGAUUUAUCUCAUAUUACUUUUUAGAUCUAAUAUGAAGGAGGCGUGGGAAGUAUCAUUUUUCACUCAUCAUAUGGUGUUUCGGAUUGCUGUUAUUUUGUUGACCUCUCAUGAGUAGAGGCCCAAGAUUCGAGUCCAAGUACUUUCAGUUUCAAUCCCCUUGCUAUCAAAAAAUUAUUUUAUAUACCUAUGCGUGCAGCUUUGGUUCA